rnacentral:lncRNA from 1 species
UGAAUUAUUACUACAUAACUACAUUAGACAGCGUGGUGUUAUAGAUGAGGAGUUUGACAGAUGUGAUUGAAAUCCCAAUUAUAUUUCUGAGAGUCAAAAAGAAAAAAAUAAUGAUGAAGAAAUGGGUUCAUAUACUUCUAGAAGAGUAUUGGAUGAUAGUUACAUGGAAAGAGUUCGCAACCAAAUAGCUGCUGCAUUGAUAGAAAAUAAAAAUUGUUAACUGGUUUUUGCUGCUUGUCAUAUUCGAGGGGUUUCAAUUGUCAAGAUGAUGCAGCCAUGGACUAAGUGCUUGUGUUGAUCUAGCCGAUCGUUGAUGUUCUUAUGGUUCAGGUUUGUCAAGGCACACUAAUUUCCUUUGUCGCUAUUCUGGAAUU